rnacentral:rRNA from 1 species
UCUAGAGAUUCCUACGGGAGGCAGCAGUGGGGAAUUUUGGACAAUGGGGGCAACCCUGAUCCAGUCAUGCCGCGUGAGUGAAGAAGGCCUUCGGGUUGUAAAGCUCUUUCAGUCGGGAAGAAACGGAGCGCUCUAACAUAGCGCUCUACUGACGGUACCGACAGAAGAAGCACCGGCUAACUACGUGCCAGCAGCCGCGGUAAUACGUAGGGUGCGAGCGUUAAUCGGAAUUACUGGGCGUAAAGCGUGCGCAGGCGGCUUUGUAAGACAGGUGUGAAAUCCCCGGGCUUAACCUGGGAACUGCGUUUGUGACUGCAAGGCUAGAGUACGGCAGAGGGGGGUGGAAUUCCACGUGUAGCAGUGAAAUGCGUAGAGAUGUGGAGGAACACCGAUGGCGAAGGCAGCCCCCUGGGCCUGUACUGACGCUCAUGCACGAAAGCGUGGGGAGCAAACAGGAUUAGAUACCCUGGUAGUCCACGCCCUAAACGAUGUCGACUAGUCGUUCGGAGCAGCAAUGCACUGAGUGACGCAGCUAACGCGUGAAGUCGACCGCCUGGGGAGUACGGCCGCAAGGUUAAAACUCAAAGGAAUUGACGGAAUCGUCGACC